CAAACAGUGGUUGAGGCUCAGUGGCAAUACAUCUAUGUUAAAGGUAACAUCUGGUCUUUGCUCCCUUGAAGGUGAUGCAUGCCUUAUAGUCAUUCCUUAUUAUAACACAUAAGGACACUGCUUGCCAGAACUCCUGUGAGAUAAAACCUUAGUCUUCUUUUACAGACAAUCACAGAGAAGUCAGUGAAUAAGCAAGCAAAACUUUGAAGUAUGUACAGUGAGGACUAAGCUGGAGGUGAUCUUUCCACAUUGGAAACAAAGUG